UACGUAGGGAGCAAGCGUUGUCCGGAUUUACUGGGCGUAAAGGGCGCGUAGGCGGCAGAUCAAGUCAGCUGUGAAAUCUCCGAGCUUAACUCGGAACUGUCAGCUGAUACUGUUUUGCUAGAGUGCGGAAGGGGCAAUCGGAAUUCUUGGUGUAGCGGUGAAAUGCGUAGAUAUCAAGAGGAACACCUGAGGUGAAGACGGGUUGCUGGGCCGACACUGACGCUGAGUGCGCGAAAGCCAGGGGAGCAAACGGG
rnacentral:rRNA from 1 species